GGACGAACGCUGGCGGCGUGCUUAACACAUGCAAGUCGAGCGGCAAGGCCCGUUUCGGGGGUACACGAGCGGCGAACGGGUGAGUAACACGUGGGUGACCUGCCCUCAGCUCUGGGAUAAGCCUGGGAAACCGGGUCUAAUACCGGAUAUGACUCCAUGACGCAUGUUGUGGGGUGGAAAGCCUUGUGCGGCUGAGGAUGGGCCCGCGGCCUA
rnacentral:rRNA from 1 species